rnacentral:rRNA from 1 species
UACGUAGGGUGCAAGCGUUAAUCGGAAUUACUGGGCGUAAAGCGUGCGCAGGCGGUUUUGUAAGUCUGACGUGAAAGCCCCGGGCUCGACCUGGGAAUUGCGUUGGAGACUGCAAGGCUUGAAUCUGGCAGAGGGGGGUAGAAUUCCACGUGUAGCAGUGAAAUGUGUAGAGAUGUGGAGGAACACCGAUGGCGAAGGCAGCCCCCUGGGUCAAGAUUGACGCUCAUGCACGAAAGCGUGGGGAGCAAACAGG